AAGAGAAUAUUGUGUGUGUAGCCUCUCAGUAAUCAGAGGUUAACUAUUUAAACAUGGUUGAGAACACAAAGUGGACAGUGAAGUGUGUGUGCCUGCUAGUGACAGCCGCCGCCAAGCAGUCUUUCGCUAACGUCUGUGUGUGAAGUAGGGCUGAUACGGAAGGAGACGCCCCUUGGCACUGGAUCCUGAGAGAAGAGUGCUUUCAGCUCUGACCCAAACAGAUGUGUGGCAAAUCCAAAGUUGCAGGAUUGCUUAUGGAACACACAGACCAGGUCGUCACUGAUAAUGUCCCUCUUUGGGGAACAACCAUUGAUGUCCAGGAGAUUGGUGUAUCCACAGCUCUAUACAUCAGUAAAGAAAGUGAUGAGAUGAGAUCAAUGCAUGGAACAUUGUCAACAUAAUCAACUUCAACCUCACAAGUGAUGCCCUCAUCCCUACAUGACUCAAUGGAAGACUUGAAGAUGUGUGUGUUGUAAAAAUGUUGCAUUGUCUCUGCACACAGGUUAAUGCAGAGGUGCUCCAAGUGUGAGGGCUGUGGAAUGAAAGGAAAUGGCUUUCAUUAAUGUAUAUUCAUUGUAUUGCUUGUCAUUGAGUGAUGAAAGAUCCAGCUUUCAUUAAUAUUUAUUCAUUGUACUGCUGUCAUCAUGUGAUGAAAGAUGCUUACCUUGGGAUCCUCAAAGCCAAACAUGUCAAGAAUGCCGAUAAAACCAUCUGUAGCAUGCUUCACUGCAUUGUUAAGAACACUCAUUGAUUUUGAGGCCUUGGAGCCAGCAGUGCCCACUGUUGAAGCAUGUUGAGAUGCUACCUCCCCUUGGUGAUGGACACUCUCAUUGCUAAUGAAAAACAUGUAAUUACCAAGAAGCCAUUACUGAAAUAAAUAAUGAUUCAUAUGCUUAGAAUUCUAGGAAGUUAUUUUAGGUGCACUGUAAUAAAAUUUUACAAAGAAAA
rnacentral:misc_RNA from 1 species